GUGCCAGCCGCCGCGGUAAGACGAACCGUGCGAACGUUAUUCGGAAUCACUGGGCUUAAAGCGCGUGUAGGCGGGUCGGUGCGUCGGCCGCUGAAAUCCCCCGGCUCAACCGGGGAAGGGGCGCCGAUACGACCGGCCUGGAGCGACGUAGGGGGGACUGGAACUUCCGGUGGAGCGGUGAAAUGCGUUGAGAUCGGAAGGAACGCCCGUGGCGAAAGCGAGUCCCUGGACGUCGGCUGACGCUGAGACGCGAAAGCCAGGGGAGCGAACGGGAUUAGAUACCCCGGUAGUCCUGGCCGUAAACGAUGGGCACUGGGUAGGGGGCUCGCCGAUGGGCUCCCUGCCGUAGGGAAACCGUGAAGUGCCCCGCCUGGGGAGUAUGGUCGCAAGGCUGAA
rnacentral:rRNA from 1 species